rnacentral:rRNA from 1 species
CGGAGGAUCCAAGCGUUAUCCGGAUUUAUUGGGUUUAAAGGGUGCGUAGGCGGCCUGUUAAGUCAGGGGUGAAAGACGGUAGCUCAACUAUCGCAGUGCCCUUGAUACUGAUGGGCUUGAAUGUACUAGAGGUAGGCGGAAUGUGACAAGUAGCGGUGAAAUGCAUAGAUAUGUCACAGAACACCAAUUGCGAAGGCAGCUUACUAUGGUAUGAUUGACGCUGAGGCACGAAAGCGUGGGGAUCAAACAGGAUUAGAUACCCUGGUAGUCCACGCCCUAAACGAUGAAUACUCGAUGUUAGCGAUAUACAGUUAGCGUCAAAGCGAAAGCGUUAAGUAUUCCACCUGGGGAUACGCCCGCAAGGGUG